GCCUGAUGCAGCGACGCCGCGUGAGGGACGACGGCCUUCGGGUUGUAAACCUCUUUCAGCAGGGACGAAGCGCAAGUGACGGUACCUGCAGAAGAAGCACCGGCUAACUACGUGUCAGCAGCCGCGGUAAUACGUAGGGUGCAAGCGUUGUCCGGAAUUAUUGGGCGUAAAGAGCUCGUAGGCGGCUUGUCACGUCGACUGUGAAAACCCGGGGCUCAACUCCGGGCCCGCAGUCGAUACGGGCUGGCUUGAGUGCGGUAGGGGAGACUGGAAUUCCUGGUGUAGCGGUGAAAUGCGCAGAUAUCAGGAGGAACACCGGUGGCGAAGGCGGGUCUCUGGGCCGUAACUGACGCUGAGGAGCGAAAGCGUGGGGAGCGAACAGGAUUAGAUACCCUGGUAGUCCACGCCGUAAACGUUGGGCGCUAGGUGUGGGACCCUAUCCACGGGUUCCGUGCCGCAGCUAACGCAUUAAGCGCCCCGCCUGGGGAGUACGGCCGCAAGGCUAAAACUCAAAGGAAUUGACGGGGGCCCGCACAAGCGGCGGAGCAUGCGGCUU
rnacentral:rRNA from 1 species